GCUGGGUGUGGUGGUGCACACCUGUAAUCCCAGCUACUCAGGAGGCUGAGACAGGAGAAUCACUUGAACCUGGGAGGCAGAGGUUGCAGUGAGCUGAGAUCGUACCACUGCACUCCAGCCUGGGUGACAAAGCAAGACCCUGUCUCUU
rnacentral:sRNA from 1 species